UUGUGACUCUACUCUUUUUCCUAUUUCUUUCCCGACCUUAAUACAUAUUUCCGUCUUAUGGUACAGGAUUAGAUUCCUAGACCAUCGUAGAGUUUUUGGCUGUGUUCUCAAGAUAGUAGUCUUAGAUAGCUUGAUGUACAUGGUUGGGCCCAUUUCCUGACAGCUUAAGCUUUGUGGACUACUGGUAACUUGACAUGGUAUCAGAGCUCUCUGGUUGUGAGAGGUCUUGGGUUCAAGUCUCUCUGUUUGCAUUUGCAUUCUGUUCUUCUUCGUAUUCUGUUUUCACUCUAUCUAUGAAAAUUUGCAUCUCCACGUGCAAGAUGGGGUUGCAUGUGAGGGAGGGUGUUAGAUAGCUUGAUAUACAUGAUUGGGUCCAUUUCCUAACAGCUUAAGCUGUUGGGACUGCUGGUAACUUGACAAAAAGUUGUAACAGUGAUUCUAUAUUCUCAAUACACAUUAGUAACAGCGCUUGUUUACCGCCAAUUAUGUGCUUAUUAAGAAUAGUGGAUCACUAUUGCCAUUUAAUGUUCGCUUUCCCUUUUAGUAAUUCCUUUCUUCUUCAGUGAAACAGUACACUAGAGAUAUGUGACUUAUGCAUGGGUAACAAUAAAAAUCUUGAAAAUGACUAUUCUGAUAAGGUGGAGCGUGUUCAGAACUUAUAUAAUUAGGGAUUAUUUUUGCAGUAUAUGGGAUUUCCACAUCUUUUGGUUUUGAAACUGAUCUUGUUGUUCAUCUUGCUCAACACGUGAAAACCGUACUACAAACUUAAGAUUGAAAAGUUAAUGAAUUAUCGUAGGAUCAAUGCCUAAGAGAUCUGAUCAUGUGAUUUCCAGGAAAUGAAAUAUCGUAGGAUCAAUGCCUAAGAGAUCUGAAUCCUGAUCACGUGAUUUCCAGUUUACUUUUGUAAAACUUGUUAUAAGAUUUGCAUGCCAUGAGAGCCAUGAGCGUUGAAUGACCCAAAGCGACAUAUUUUUCGUUAUGUCUGGAUUUAAAUGUAAAAUGGAUUUGAGUGUUGCAAUAGCUCUCACAAAUGAUAAAUAUAAGAAGAUGAUUUUACCGAGAUUUACAAAUAUUCUCAAUCAAAGUAUCCUUGUCAACACCAUUGCUUUUUCGUACAACUUUUACCUUUCAAUGGAUCAUCGGUAUUAUGUGCUUAUAUCUUCAAUUUAUUUGAAUCUCGUAUCCUUGCAUCAUAUGCUCUUUGUUUCACUGUGGUUCUCUAUUGUCUAGUUUGCUAUGAAGCACAACACUCCUAAAGGUCGCCAUAUCAGUGUCCGACACACCGGGGACAUGGAUAAAAAUGUAUCGGGCGCACCACAUGGCAUGUCCAUUGAAUUUAAUUAAAUUUUUAAGGGGGACACAGUGGGUACACGUAUGGGGACACGACAGGGGUCAAAUACUCAAUUUUUUUAGGGUAAAUGGGUAUUAUUCAAAUGUUGUGUUAAAGUGUAAUAUGAGGUGUAUAUGAUGCUUUUAUAUACUUAUUGAUGCUUUAUACUUCUUCAUAGAACUAUAUUUCCACUAGUUUAAAAUGAAUAUUACUUAUUUAUUUUUA